UGAUUUUUUUUUUAUCAGAGACGGAGUUAUUAUUUUAGCUUUAUACUUUUAUAACGUAUAAGAAAAACGCGACGAGGAUUAUUGAGCCAUUCAAUAAUUUAUUAUCCAGUUUGAUAACUGACUUAGCAAAGUCAAGUUAUUAAUUUAUAUGCGAUAGAAAUAGUAUUUCUAUUAUUUACUUGAAGUCGUGAUUAAUUUUCGACUUAUAAAACGAAUUAUAAAAUAUGUAAUUCGUAGAGAGUUAUAACGAAGCGUCGUUAUUUAGUAGAACCCAAUAUUAGUUUUACAAAUACUUGUAACUUCAAUACUUUACAAAUCAUUAUUUUUCCACUCCCUAAUGUUUCCUACACUAUACACGCAUAAUCUCCACUUCUCCACUCCACCAACUAUCUCCAUCACCUUUUGCUUUCUUCCACUACAUUUUUUCUCACCACCCUUUCCACUCCACUAAUUCCACUACACCAAACUUUCCACCUACUCCCUUCCCCACCACACGCAAGAAUGCAUCUAACAUUCCAUUAUACAGGCAACAAUCUUUUCAUCAUCUUCAUUCUUCACUAAGGAACCGAAGAGCAGCCACGAGUUCUGCCAUAAGCACACUGCUCCGGCAGUGUUUUGCAAGGCGAUUCCAGCCAUCCAAAAGGUCCGGGCGACAGAAAGUGAAGCCGAAGAAGAAACGACUCCACGCCAGCUUUAAGAACAAUUGAGGUUGAGUUGUGAUGGGCGAUGAAGUGUUGCUGAGUGGAGUUUUUGUUGAACUUAAAGUAGGCUCAGAAAGGAUACAUGUCUUCAUACAUGUAUCUCAGUUAUGCAUUCCGCUGUAAACACUGAUUAUUUCAGUUACACCUUCCGUUGCAAACUCUGAUAAUGUUUUAGCCAAGCCCCUAACGAUGCCUUUUUCCUUUUUAGGAAUAUAACGCUUAUACAAGUUCGUUGAGUACCCUUUUUAUGCGAACUAUGCCUUUUUCCUUUUUAAGAAAUAUUUCACGCGUAUUCAAGCUCUUUGAGUAUUCUUUUAUGCGCCCCUUUCUAAACCCGCUUCUUAAUUUCCCUUCCCCAGUCAUGGUUUUCCCGGAUUAAUUAUCCUUAAUUAAGGCCGGUCGUGACAGAGUGGUAUCAGAGCAGUUCAUUUGCUCUGAGCCUAAGAGUUUAUUUAAGCCAAACUUAGAAUGGAUCAAUAAAGUGUCUAGAGUUCAAUCAACAAAGCUCAGCACUUCAUCGCAUCACACUCAACGAAGCAGAAUGGUAAACUCUUCCAAGCUUGAGUUAAUGUUUACAAAAAGUGAGAAUUAUCGUAAUAGCAAAAAUGCCGCCUAAGAGAGGACGCCCUGCGAGAAACAAUAACAAUCGCAGAAACCGUAACGCUGUACCCGAAGAACCACAAGAUGCUCGAGGACAUAACCCAUCCCUCCGCCCCCAACUAGGAGAGUCGAAGAACUCUUUUUAAGGCAAAAUCCGCCUACGUUUGACGGAACGAGUGAACCAGCUGAAGCUGAGAUUUGGGUGCGUGCAAAUGAACGCAUCUUCAACUUUCUACAUUGUACUGAUGAGGAGCGCCUAUCUUGCGUCUCAUUCCAGCUAACAUGAUCAGCGGAUUUCUGGUGGGAAACACGACGAAAAAUUCUGACACCUGAACAAUGGGCAAGUUAUACUUGGGAAGAUUUUAAGACAGGAUUAUAUGAUAAAUAUAUUCCGAAAAGCUAUAGGAAGAAGAAAGAAGUUAAGUUCUACGAGUUGAAGCAAGGAAAGAAAUCUGUGGUUGAAUAAAACAAGGAAUUUCACCUUGCCCAAAUUGUGGUAAGAUGCAUAGGGGUGUCUGUCGUGCCGGGACUAACGGUUGUUACAAUUGUGGCCAAAAGGGUCACUACUCCACGCAAUGCCCCAACAAACAACGAGGUUCAACAAUUGAGAACAGCCACACCCCCUUGCCAGCAAUACGUGGACACUUGCGAAAUCAGUUUCAAUCACAUCAGUGAAAAUCUUAUGGAGGCACCGCAGAUAAAAAAAAAAUUUACGUGGGAGUUUGAAGACAAAAUGAAAGAGAAGUACCCGGAUUGUUUUAACAGAGAUAUGCAAAUUUCGGGACGAAAUUUUUGUUAAGAGGGGUAGUAUGUAGUAGCCCGCUCUUUUAUUUAUGAUAAAAACUAGUAAAUGCAAUUUUUAUAAAUGAAUCCAGUUUAUGGUCCUGAUUUUUUUUUUAUCAGAGACGGAGUUAUUAUUUUAGCUUUAUACUUUUAUAACGUAUAAGAAAAACGCGACGAGGAUUAUUGAGCCAUUCAAUAAUUUAUUAUCCAGUUUGAUAACUGACUUAGCAAAGUCAAGUUAUUAAUUUAUAUGCGAUAGAAAUAGUAUUUCUAUUAUUUACUUGAAGUCGUGAUUAAUUUUCGACUUAUAAAACGAAUUAUAAAAUAUGUAAUUCGUAGAGAGUUAUAACGAAGCGUCGUUAUUUAGUAGAACCCAAUAUUAGUUUUACAAAUACUUGUAACUUCAAUACUUUACAAAUCAUUAUUUUUCCACUCCCUAAUGUUUCCUACACUAUACACGCAUAAUCUCCACUUCUCCACUCCACCAACUAUCUCCAUCACCUUUUGCUUUCUUCCACUACAUUUUUUCUCACCACCCUUUCCACUCCACUAAUUCCACUACACCAAACUUUCCACCUACUCCCUUCCCCACCACACGCAAGAAUGCAUCUAACAUUCCAUUAUACAGGCAACAAUCUUUUCAUCAUCUUCAUUCUUCACUAAGGAACCGAAGAGCAGCCACGAGUUCUGCCAUAAGCACACUGCUCCGGCAGUGUUUUGCAAGGCGAUUCCAGCCAUCCAAAAGGUCCGGGCGACAGAAAGUGAAGCCGAAGAAGAAACGACUCCACGCCAGCUUUAAGAACAAUUGAGGUUGAGUUGUGAUGGGCGAUGAAGUGUUGCUGAGUGGAGUUUUUGUUGAACUUAAAGUAGGCUCAGAAAGGAUACAUGUCUUCAUACAUGUAUCUCAGUUAUGCAUUCCGCUGUAAACACUGAUUAUUUCAGUUACACCUUCCGUUGCAAACUCUGAUAAUGUUUUAGCCAAGCCCCUAACGAUGCCUUUUUCCUUUUUAGGAAUAUAACGCUUAUACAAGUUCGUUGAGUACCCUUUUUAUGCGAA